rnacentral:rRNA from 1 species
GAUGAACGCUGGCGGCGUGCUUAACACAUGCAAGUCGAACGGUGAAGCAGGAGCUUGCUCUUGUGGAUCAGUGGCGAACGGGUGAGUAACACGUGAGCAACCUGCCCCUGACUAUGGGAUAAGCGCUGGAAACGGCGUCUAAUACUGGAUAUGUGAUGUGACCGCAUGGUCUGCAUCUGGAAAGAAUUUCGGUUGAGGAUGGGCUCGCGGCCUAUCAGCUUGUUGGUGAGGUAAUGGCUCACCAAGGCGUCGACGGGUAGCCGGCCUGAGAGGGUGACCGGCCACACUGGGACUGAGACACGGCCCAGACUCCUACGGGAGGCAGCAGUGGGGAAUAUUGCACAAUGGGCGGAAGCCUGAUGCAGCAACGCCGCGUGAGGGAUGACGGCCUUCGGGUUGUAAACCUCUUUUAGCAGGGAAGAAGCGAAAGUGACGGUACCUGCAGAAAAAGCACCGGCUAACUACGUGCCAGCCGCCGCGGUAA